UACGUAGGGAGCGAGCGUUGUCCGGAUUCAUUGGGCGUAAAGAGCUCGUAGGCGGCUUGGCAAGUCGGGUGUGAAAACUCCAGGCUCAACCUGGAGACGCCACCUGAUACUGCCAUGGCUAGAGUCCGGUAGGGGACCACGGAAUUCCUGGUGUAGCGGUGAAAUGCGCAGAUAUCAGGAGGAACACCGGUGGCGAAGGCGGUGGUCUGGGCCGGUACUGACGCUGAGGAGCGAAAGCGUGGGGAGCAAAAGGG
rnacentral:rRNA from 1 species